CUCAUUUUGCCUUCUCAGAAAGACCAGCACCAGCUGGCUGGCAUCCUCUUCUUGGAUACCUGAGUCCCAGGUUCUUGGGGCCUCUUCUCCACGAUCAUUGAGUUACAAGCGCCAGCUAGGCAGCCUGCUUUCAAACUCCUAGGUUUUACAGUAUUCCUACUUUCUUCUCCUUAUUAUGCCAGCCCUACAGGUGGCAGCUUCCUACUGUGGUUGCUACCUCAACGAUACUUCAGUGUUUCCUUUUUUCUCUCUUUGAUCCUCUAGUAACUGUUAAAUCAAUUCCUUCUAUUAAAUUUUCUAGUUAAAAUAGUUGGUAUGACUUCUGCUUUCUUAACUGAUAGACUAUUUCUUAAUCUGUGCUUUUUCUUUGAAAAUAACAGAAACUUACUUGAACUCGUUUAAGAAGAAAUAGACUUUAUCAUAGAAUAUAUGUUGCUCCUGGAAUCCUGAGACAGGAAGUGCAAUCAGGCCUGACAUUACUUUGUGAAAUUAGAUUGGGACACGCUUUUCCCUGAAGAGCUCUACAUCCACAAAUGUUUCCGAAUACAUGAAAUCAUUCAGAGUAUGAAGGGUCAUCAUGCAGAGGAGAGUGUCCAACUAUUCCCUGCUGCCAUGAAUGACACACUACCAUCUGCCACCGAACCAUGAUCUAAUCAAGUUUCCAAACCCAGCUGGGUGGAGUCUUCUAAUAGCCUCCGUUCUAACAGCGUCUAACUGUGGAAGUGAUAAUGGUGGUGAAUUACAGGCAUUUUGCACAGAAUAA